UUAAAAUGAGAGUUUGAUCCUGGCUCAGGACGAACGCUGGCGGCGUGCCUAAUACAUGCAAGUCGAGCGAGCGGAACUAACAGAUUUACUUCGGUAAUGACGUUAGGAAAGCGAGCGGCGGAUGGGUGAGUAACACGUGGGGAACCUGCCCCAUAGUCUGGGAUACCACUUGGAAACAGGUGCUAAUACCGGAUAAGAAAGCAGAUCGCAUGAUCAGCUUUUAAAAGGCGGCGUAAGCUGUCGCUAUGGGAUGGCCCCGCGGUGCAUUAGCUAGUUGGUAAGGUAAAGGCUUACCAAGGCGAUGAUGCAUAGCCGAGUUGAGAGACUGAUCGGCCACAUUGGGACUGAGACACGGCCCAAACUCCUACGGGAGGCAGCAGUAGGGAAUCUUCCACAAUGGACGCAAGUCUGAUGGAGCAACGCCGCGUGAGUGAAGAAGGUUUUCGGAUCGUAAAGCUCUGUU
rnacentral:rRNA from 1 species